GGGUCAGUAGGUUGGUCGUGCCACCGGUACGUACUGGUCUCACUGAUUCCUCCUUCCUGAAGAACCGUAAUGCCAUUAAUUUGGUGUUGCGGGGGAACAGGACUGUUACUUUGAAAAGAUUAGAGUGUUUAAAGCAAGCUAACGCUUGAAUACAUUAGCAUGGAAUAAUGAAAUAGGACGAUCGAUCCUAUUUUGUUGGUUUCUAGGAUUGACGUA
rnacentral:rRNA from 1 species